rnacentral:rRNA from 1 species
GAAAAGUAUGCAACUGACCUGGUCAGGAAAGCUGGAUUGCAGGGAUGUAAACCCUCACUUACUCCAUUAUCUAGCUCAGAAAAAUUAUCUCUUGCAGAAGGUGAGCUUUUGAGUAAAGAGGACAACACUAAGUACAGGAGUCUGGUAGGAGCUCUUCAGUAUCUCACACUUACCAGGCCUGAUCUUUCUUUUGCUGUCAACAAGGUCUGCCAGUUCCUUCAUGCACCUACCAAUGUUCAUUUGACAGCUGCAAAACGUAUAGUUCGAUAUGUUAAGCAUACCUUGAGUUUGGGACUGAACUUCAGCAAAUCUCCAUUCACUCUUGUUAGUGCUUUUUCUGACUCUGACUGGGCAGGUUGUCUGGAUGACAGACGUUCCACUGGUGGUUUUGCAGUGUUUUAUGGACCAAAUUUGAUAUCAUGGUGUGCACGUAAGCAAGCUACUGUAUCCAGGUCAAGCACAGAGGCUGAGUACAAAGCAUUGGCAAAUGCCACAGCAGAGAUAAUAUGGGUUCAGUCCAUGCUGAAGGAACUUGGCAUACAAAGCAAGCAGGCUCCUUGUCUAUGGUGUGACAAUCUUGGUGCCACGUAUCUCUCUGCAAAUCCAGUGUUCCAUGCCAGGACAAAACAUAUUGAGAUAGAUUUUCAUUUUGUCAGAGAAAGGGUUGCUAAGAAGCAACUUGACAUUCGCUUUGUGCAUUCCAGAGAUCAACUUGCAGAUGGAUUUACAAAGCCUUUGCCUACAAGAAGUUUUGAAGACUUUAAGCAUAAUCUCAACUUGAUGAAGUUGUGA